rnacentral:rRNA from 1 species
AUGGCAAGUGGGCAGAAGAGGCGCCUGCUGGUGGUGAUGGCGUCCUCAUCGAUUGCGGCGGCGCAGUCGACGUCAACAUGCGGUGACAACCAAUCGAGGGCAACAUCCAAGGACCUCAUCACGCUCAACGGUUCCGCCGCCUUAUUUCUUCAGUAUGCAUGCGCCUCCUCCCAUCCCCUCUUCCCCUCCACCAAUCUUAGUAUCUUAUCGAGUGAUUCGAUUGAUUCGAGGGCAGGUUACGCGGAAAAUGGGAGCGGCCUUGUCAUGAAAUCCAUGAGCGAAGACAUCCAAAAUGAUUAUUCCAACCAAAGAUUGCUGGCUGCAAUGCGUGACCAUUUCGGGUCAGUAAAUUGUGUGAGAUGGGCUAAACAUGGGCACUAUCUUGCUUCAGUAUCAGAUGAACAAGCAUUCAAGCUAUCCUAA